GACGAACGCUGGCGGCGUGCCUAACACAUGCAAGUCGAACGAAGUGGCGAACGGGUGAGUAACGUGUAAUCAACCUGCCCUUCAGAGGGGGACAACAGUUGGAAAGGACUGCUAAUACCGCAUACUGAAGGAGGGGAUUGAGUCUGGUUAGCUAGUUGGAGGGGUAACGGGCCACCAAGGCGAUGAUCAGUAGGCGGUCUGAGAGGAUGAACGGCCACAUUGGGACUGAGACACGGCCCAGACUCCUCCUGGAGGCAGCAGUGGGGAAUCUUCCGAAAUGGGGGAAAGUCUGACGGAGCAACGCCGGGUGAGUGAUGACGGCCUUCGGGUUGUAAAGCUCUGUUAAUCGGGACGCGGUACCGGAAUAGAAAGCCACGGCUAACUACGUGCCAGCAGCCGCGGUAAUAC
rnacentral:rRNA from 1 species